AAAAGGCAGCGCUAGCUCUUAGGGCUAUUAAAAAUGAUGCAGAAUUUUAACCAUCUGCUGCACCAGGUACUCCACAGUGGUUCUACAGAUCUGUGUUUUCGCAGAGGGAAGACCUGCAGAGCUUUCAAAUUGCAAAACUGCAUUUAAGCGUUUAAAUAUUUUAUGAAACAGCACCCUUAAAGCCAGAUUCCUUUUAAUUGCGAAUUGAGAAAUAGGUUUUACCAAAAUCGAAGCAUUUUCCAUCCUUAACGUGCUGCCGGGGGGGGGUGGUUCUAAAAGGGGCACAGGUGUACUGCUGAGGACAGGGUGCCGGCGCUGCCGAAAUGCUGUCCCUGCAAGCACUAUGAAGGCUCCAGAAACAGCCAGAGAUAGAAACUGAGUAUUUUGUAGCCUCCUAAGGGCUUUUGACUGAAGUGUGCGAGACAUAACUGCGUGUGGAGAGUCAUCUCUUGCACUUGACCGGCUGCUUGUGUACGUAUCGGAGCAAAAUUACCUAAUGAAUAACAUGGAGACUGGAGAAGAAACCGGGCUGCCAACAUGGCCUCGUGAACUAUGUUAGUAUGUCCAGCUCACAGGGGAAGACCGCUUCGAAAUAAUAAUGGAUGGAAAGAAUGUUUUUGAAGUGUGCCUGGCUUAGAAUGCAUUUCAUGGUCAGUGGAAAAAAAUGAGGAAGAGGAGGGUGUGGCUGCAGAGAAUUUGGCUGUGCAGGCAGGGACUGGCUUUGGGGUUGUGAUCCUUCAACCUCGCAGAAGGAAGACUUCUCUUAGUGAAAUCAGAAGAAAAGUAGUGCUGGAGCAGAGCACUUGAACUUUGAGAACUGGAGUUGUCAGUCACUGCUGAAGGUACAGGAACAGCGGAUGCCUCCCAUUGUUGUCGCUGGGAGCUGGCAGCAGCUGUGGCAGGGGGAGCGUGCGGAGGAGCCGCCAGCCGCCCGCUAGAAAGAAGCUCAAGAAGAGAAACCGACAAAGUUGGGCGGUGCAAGUUUUUAUAUCUAUUUAAUAUUUCGACGUGUCCCGGGCGUUAUUAGACAUCGGCGUGCAGAGCGGUCACGAUGCGCCUGGGAGCGAGUCCAUGGGGUUUUGUGCCAUUUGUACGCCUGGGCAACACCAUACCCGUCCUGAACUCAUAUUUUUGAGUGUCUCAGCCUGGAUGUAGCCCAGAUGUGUGAAAUACACAGCAGCAGAAUUUGAGUUUUCAAGUGAAAUAGCUUUUCUUUGUCUGAAUCAUUCUUCAAAAUGCAAGAUUAGAAGUUUCCUACCACGUCAUCUUCAAGACUCACAGAAAAUUCUCCUGCAACUUGUGGCUGCCUGGCAAAAGAUGAUGAUGUAGUCUGGCAGAAUGAACUCAAGAAACAAGAAGACGCUAGAAACUGAUCUGCAAGUUGUUCAGGUUCACUGAUAAGAUGCAAACCAGAAUCUGCCUAUUGGUAGUCUUUCCAGAUAUGAUUCAGAGCUAAUAAGAGAGACUGAGAAGUACCAUGACUCCAAACAGACUCAUUUUGCUGUGCAGAAUGGCACGAGAUGAACUAGCACAUUUUAGAAUAAGUUAAAUAGAGAACAAAGUAUUGUGUCACUGGACAAGUAGAAGAAGAGGAGCUGAUCUCUGACCACAAAAGAAAAAUAAAGAAUUGCUAAGACUUUGAGAAAAAUAAGCCUGAAUGUUUUAGUUCUAAGAGAAAUGACCUAGGGGGAGCCAAGUUACAAGAUGAACUAAUGAAGUUAGAAGAGGAAAGAAGUGAAAAUUGGUCAUCUAUGCAAAGAAAAUGACAAGGCUUUGUCUCCCAUGGAUCCUGGCCUCACCCCAUUUUCCCACUGGGAUCUGCCGAAUGUCAUUUCUGCCCUCAGGAGCUGGGAAGCACGGCUCAGGCUGAGAUCCUGCUGCUGCUGCUCCCACAGAUGUCCCUGUCAUGCCUGGCAGCCGGCUUAGGCUGGGCAGAAAGCCCACCAGAGCCAGCACAGCAAAUCAGCUGAUUAGGGGUGCCCCCUGGGGACCAAUCUGAUGGAAUAAUAGCAACGGAAAGAGAAAGCUGGUGCUGUGAAUGGGCCUCUGAGAAAAUGUACAGAGAAGCUGCUGUCUGCUUUUUCACUGGCUGUCACUCACCUUAUAAUUGUUUCAGUGUGCACUGAAAUGAAGUUGAAACAUGCGUGUUUUCUCUUUCUGCAUCCCGAUUUUGAUUGUGCUAAGAGCAGUGGAAGAUCCCAUCAGUUGCCCUGAAACAUGACCUACCUACUUUGGGCUUGGUGCUCUUUCCCCCCAAGAUCUGGGUUGCAGAGCUGCUUACUUCAGUCCCCAGCGGAGGCUAUUUGUAUUGGCUUUGAUGUAAGCGCACCGGCAGCGCGGAUCAUAUUUAAGAUCAGCAAGACAGUGCUGUGCUGGGCGGUUCCCAGAAGCAUCCUUGUGAUUGUAAGCCCUGCUCCACUGUCAGCCGCCCCUUCUUCACAUAGGAAUUGCCGCCAGCAGUGCGAGUGCCGAAAACGCGGUGGGGCGGGGAAGGGGGAGCGAAAAAAAAA